rnacentral:lncRNA from 1 species
CCCCUCUGUCCCCGUUUCUCCUCAGUUCGUUCCGUCCCUCCGGCCGUUCCUCCAGACUUUGGCCAUCGGCCUCGUGUCCUUCGGCGAGAAUUACCGGAACCGCGACCCCGGCAUCGGGGUGGCUGCGGGGUCGCUGUUCACGAGCGGGAAGUUCGCGCUGGACCCGGAGCUGCGCGGGGCCGAAUUCGAGCGCCUGACCCAAAAUCUGGACGUGCAUUUUUGGAAAAGCUUCUGGAACCUCACGGAAACCGAGCUGCUGGCGUCCGUGGCCUCGCUGACAGCCGUGCAGGUGGGGCUGUGCCGAGCCCUGGGCGGAUUUUGGGAUGGGAUUUUGGGAUUUGGGGUUUUCAGGAUGGAAUUUUUUUGGAGUUUUAUGGAUAUUUGGGAUUUUGGGAUUUUUUUGGAUUUUUUGGGGAUUUUUUGGGAUUUUUGGGAUCAGAAUUCUGGGAUUUUGGGGAUUUUUUGGGGGAAUUUUGGGGGAUUUUUGGGGAAUUUUGGGGGAUUUUGGUGAUUUUUGGAGGAUUUUUUUGGAUUUUGGUCAUUUUGGGAUGGGAUUUUUUGGGAUUUGGGUGUUUCAGGAUGGAUUUUUUUGGGGAUUUUGGUGAUUUUGGUGAAUUUUGGGAUAAAUUCGGUA